UCGAACGGCAGCACGGAGCUUGCUCUGGUGGCGAGUGGCGAACGGGUGAGUAAUAUAUCGGAACGUACCCUAGAGUGGGGGAUAACGUAGCGAAAGUUACGCUAAUACCGCAUACGAUCUAAGGAUGAAAGUGGGGGAUCGCAAGACCUCAUGCUCGUGGAGCGGCCGAUAUCUGAUUAGCUAGUUGGUAGGGUAAAAGCCUACCAAGGCAUCGAUCAGUAGCUGGUCUGAGAGGACGACCAGCCACACUGGAACUGAGACACGGUCCAGACUCCUACGGGAGGCAGCAGUGGGGAAUAUUGCACAAUGGGCGCAAGCCUGAUGCAGCGACGCCGCGUGAGGGAUGACGGCCUUCGGGUUGUAAACCUCUUUCGCUAGGGAAGAAGCCACUUGUGGUGACGGUACCUGGAUAAGAAGCACCGGCUAACUACGUGCCAGCAGCCGCGGUAAU
rnacentral:rRNA from 1 species